UUUUGAUAAGAACUUCAUCAUUUUAGCAGUUUCAGAACAGUAUCUACUUGAGCUGACCAUAACUUCAAGAUUUAUGUGUGAAUGUGAUUCAGAACAAUAACAUCUUAUAAUGGAUCCUUUAAGAAAUAAUUAUAAUAAAUUCAUAAGUUUUUAAUGACACAGUGAUAUUAUAGCUUUAA
rnacentral:lncRNA from 1 species